ACGGGGUGCAGCAGGCGCGAAACCUUCACAAUGCACGAAAGUGUGAUGAGGGUACUCCGAGUGCGCAUACAUUGUAUGUGCUUUUCUGCAGCGUAAAUAGUUGCAGGGAUAAGGGCUGGGCAAGACCGGUGCCAGCCGCCGCGGUAACACCGGCAGCCCUAGUGGUGGCCGCUUUUAUUGGGCCUAAAGCGUCCGUAGCCGGAUAGGCAAGUCUUUGGGUAAAUCCUACGUCUUAAGCGUGGGAAUUCUAAAGAUACUACCUGUCUUGAGGCCGGGAGAGGCUAGAGGUACUCCUGGGGUAGGGGUAAAAUCCUAUAAUCCUGGGGGGACCACCGAUGGCGAAGGCAUCUAGCUGGAACGGGCCUGACGGUGAGGGACGAAACCCAGGGGGGCGAGCCGGAUUAGAUACCCGGGUAGUCCUGGGCGUAAAUGAUGUGGGCUUGGUGUGAGCGCAUCGACGAGGUGCGUUUGUGCCGUAGGGAAGCCGUUAAGCCCACCGCCUGGGGAGUACGGUCGCAAGGCUGAAACUUAAAGGAAUUGGCGGGGGAG
rnacentral:rRNA from 1 species